GGCGCCUCCACCAAAAUAUAAGCAACCAAAAUUAUAUUUUGGUGGGGGCCAUUUAGGAUCGACAAGGGUGUAAAGAUCGCUCUUUUACUCGGCAUUGUACCACCGUUAUCGGGCUAAAUGAGUAGUUGCAAAUGACAACUAUGCGGAAGCACGUCUCGCUGCUUGAAGUAGUGUGAAUGUUUCAAAUUGACUCUUAAACCGUCGCAGGUUUAAGCGGGGUUGGAAGGCACCUGG
rnacentral:tmRNA from 1 species